GACGAACGCUGGCGGCGUGCUUAACACAUGCAAGUCGAACGAUGAUCAGGAGCUUGCUCCUGUGAUUAGUGGCGAACGGGUGAGUAACACGUGAGUAACCUGCCCCUGACUCUGGGAUAAGCGUUGGAAACGACGUCUAAUACUGGAUAUGACUGCCGGCCGCAUGGUCUGGUGGUGGAAAGAUUUUUUGGUUGGGGAUGGACUCGCGGCCUAUCAGCUUGUUGGUGAGGUAAUGGCUCACCAAGGCGACGACGGGUAGCCGGCCUGAGAGGGUGACCGGCCACACUGGGACUGAGACACGGCCCAGACUCCUACGGGAGGCAGCAGUGGGGAAUAUUGCACAAUGGGCGAAAGCCUGAUGCAGCAACGCCGCGUGAGGGAUGACGGCCUUCGGGUUGUAAACCUCUUUUAGUAGGGAAGAAGCGAAAGUGACGGUACCUGCAGAAAAAGCACCGGCUAACUACGUGCCAGCAGCCGCCGUAA
rnacentral:rRNA from 1 species